CUGUUUUUCCACCGUGUCAGUUCAUAUGUCAACAUUGAGGCAGAUUGCUCCUGCUGCUUUGCCUUGCCUGAAUUAAGUUUUAUAUAUUUCUUUUCUUUAUUGUUUAUUUUGCCGUAGCCUCCGUCUACUGCUCUGUCUGACUGAUGUGGUAUUGGCUGUGCUAGUAGUGUAUAGCGUUACAUUUCUCUAUCCAUUUUUCUAGUGAUAACUAACUUGUUCUUUUCCUUGUCUUUCCAGAGUAUUAGCGUAGCUGCUCACAAGAGAGGUUCCUGGUUCCGUCCCCACACCCUGCACCACGUAUUGUAGUGAGUAUUAGCGUAGCUGCUCACAAGAGAGGUUCCUGGUUCCGUCCCCACACCCUGCACCACGUAUUGUAGUGGUAAAUUGCACUUCACAAUCUUGUUUGAAUCAUCGGCUUGUGGUGGUGUGUGCGUGUGCGUGUGUGUGCGUGUGUGUGGAUGCAUGGGAUCGUGGGCUCCAGGUUCCAGAGCACGGGUGGUGAACGUCACGCGUAUCUCGGACAGGUAACCUGCCUUGCCAGCGAAUCAGUAUUUUCUAGUUUAAUUGGUAAUCAUACAUUGUCCCCUGUAACAGCUAAUGCCAGGUCUAGUCUCUAUUAGUAAUGUGUCUCUAGGAUGACGGUGUGGCUCUUUUAAUGAUACCAUUGUAUAAUAAAGUUUUGUUACUGUUUUUCUACUG